rnacentral:rRNA from 1 species
GCGAACGGGUGAGUAACGCGUGAGGAACCUGCCUCAAAGAGGGGGACAACAGUUGGAAACGACUGCUAAUACCGCAUAAGCCCACGGGUCGGCAUCGACCAGAGGGAAAAGGAGCAAUCCGCUUUGAGAUGGCCUCGCGUCCGAUUAGCUGGUUGGUGAGGUAACGGCCCACCAAGGCGACGAUCGGUAGCCGGACUGAGAGGUUGAACGGCCACAUUGGGACUGAGACACGGCCCAGACUCCUACGGGAGGCAGCAGUGGGGAAUAUUGCACAAUGGGGGAAACCCUGAUGCAGCGACGCCGCGUGGAGGAAGAAGGUCUUCGGAUUGUAAACUCCUGUUGUUGAGGAAGAUAAUGACGGUACUCAACAAGGAAGUGACGGCUAACUACGUGCCAGCAGCCGCGGUAAAACGUAGGUCACAAGCGUUGUCCGGAAUUACUGGGUGUAAAGGGAGCGCAGGCGGGAAGACAAGUUGGAAGUGAAAUCCAUGGGCUCAACCCAUGAACUGCUUUCAAAACUGUUUUUCUUGAGUAGUGCAGAGGUAGGCGGAAUUCCCGGUGUAGCGGUGGAAUGCGUAGAUAUCGGGAGGAACACCAGUGGCGAAGGCGGCCUACUGGGCACCAACUGACGCUGAGGCUCGAAAGUGUGGGUAGCAAACAGGAUUAGAUACCCUGGUAGUCCACACCGUAAACGAUGAUUACUAGGUGUUGGAGGAUUGACCCCUUCAGUGCCGCAGUUAACACAAUAAGUAAUCCACCUGGGGAGUA